GAGUUUGAUCUUGGCUCAGAUUGAACGCUGGCGGCAGGCUUAACACAUGCAAGUCGAGCGGGGGAGGUUGCUUCGGUAACUGACCUAGCGGCGGACGGGUGAGUAAUACUUAGGAAUCUGCCUAUUAAUGGGGACAACAUCUCGAAAGGGAUGCUAAUACCGCAUACGCCCUACGGGGGAAAGCAGGGGAUCACUUGUGACCUUGCGUUAAUAGAUGAGCCUAAGUCGGAUUAGCUAGUUGGUGGGGUAAAGGCCUACCAAGGCGACGAUCUGUAGCGGGUCUGAGAGGAUGAUCCGCCACACUGGGACUGAGACACGGCCCAGACUCCUACGGGAGGCAGCAGUGGGGAAUAUUGGACAAUGGGGGGAACCCUGAUCCAGCCAUGCCGCGUGUGUGAAGAAGGCCUUAUGGUUGUAAAGCACUUUAAGCGAGGAGGAGGCUCUUCUAGUUAAUACCUAGGAUGAGUGGACGUUACUCGCAGAAUAAGCACCGGCUAACUCUGUGCCAGCAGCCGCCGU
rnacentral:rRNA from 1 species